rnacentral:lncRNA from 1 species
UUCCAAGUUUGCAAACCCAGAAGCUGAACAACAAACAAAGCACCAACACAAUCACUUUGUGUUUUGCACACAUAAUUACAAAACCAUUCUGCGUGUUGACUGAUGGUGGAUUUACAUUAUCUAACUACUCCGUACAAAGAAGAGAAGCGAGUCAAUUACAGGAACUGCAUGCCGAACUGGAUGUGGCCGCUAGCUAAUCACCGGCCGGGAAUACAAUCACUGAGCGAGCUAGUUACACGGGAUCACUGAAAGCGUGUGGCCGGAGGAGCCGAGGCCAUCGUCGAAGUUUUGGGAGUAGCUGUGCAGGUCGUACCCGAACGACCUCACCGCGGCCCGCCUCGGCCGCGCCGUGCUUCUCUGCCUCCACGUGGACCGCAGCCUCGACAGGAGCUGCUUCGCCGCCGCCGCCGCCGCCGACCGCCGGCAGUGGCCCCUCCUCCGGCUGCCGCCGGUGUACGUGCCCAGCUGAGACGCCAUCCUGUCCCGAUCGCUCACAGCUUAGAUGAGCCGCAGUAGCACGCUUGUGUGCCUCGUGUCUGAACUCUAUGCCUCUCUGACCCUGCAGCUGCGAACUUCUGAAUCACACCUUUGUCUCCGCUGGACGACGGCUGCCGUGCUGCGUAUUUUAUAAGCUCGAGCGCUCGACGGACCGAUUGGAUGGGAAUCCGAUGCAUUGGGCCGGUUCCUUCGUUACCAGAGAGCCGACGACGUGCCAACGUCGCCGGCCGGGCCCACUGACG